rnacentral:rRNA from 1 species
GAUGAACGCUGGCGGUGUGCCUAAUACAUGCAAGUCGUACGCAUUCUCGUUUCUGAUUGACGGUGCUUGCACCUAACUGACGAGACAUUGGAAUGAGUGGCGGACGGGUGAGUAACACGUGGGUAACCUGCCCAGAAGCGGGGGAUAACAUUUGGAAACAGAUGCUAAUACCGCAUAAAAGUCAAAACCACAUGGUUUUGAUUUAAAAGAUGGCCUUUGUGCUAUCACUGCUGGAUGGACCCGCGGCGUAUUAGCUAGUUGGUAAGGUAAUGGCUUACCAAGGCAAUGAUACGUAGCCGAACUGAGAGGUUGAUCGGCCACAAUGGGACUGAGACACGGCCCAUACUCCUACGGGAGGCAGCAGUAGGGAAUCUUCCACAAUGGGCGCAAGCCUGAUGGAGCAACACCGCGUGAGUGAAGGAGGGUUUCGGCUCGUAAAACUCUGUUGUUAAAGAAGAACGUAUCUAAGAGUAACUGCUUAGGUAGUGACGGUAUUUAACCAGAAAGCCACGGCUAACUACGUGCCAGCAGCCGCAGUAC